UACGAAGGGGGCUAGCGUUGCUCGGAUUGACUGGGCGUAAAGGGCGCGUAGGCGGUUUGCAUAGUCAGACGUGAAAUUCCUGGGCUUAACCUGGGGGCUGCGUUUGAUACAUGCAGGCUUGAGUUCGGAAGAGGGUCGUGGAAUUCCCAGUGUAGAGGUGAAAUUCGUAGAUAUUGGGAAGAACACCGGUGGCGAAGGCGGCGACCUGGGUCGAUACUGACGCUGAGGUGCGAAAGCGUGGGGAGCAAACAGG
rnacentral:rRNA from 1 species